AGCAGGUCAGUUUUAAAAGAAAUAAAGUGCCAUGGGUAGUGUUGAUAUAUACAAGAAACACUAAAAGGUUAUAAGAGUAAACUGUAGAGAAGUAGCAGUUGUUGACAAAUGAUGGUAGAGGAUGUCAAGAGUUUGUCUGUCUUUAACUUGGAUAAAGAGUAAUUGCAAUAAGAACUAAAAACAUAUGAUAGCUAGACUGAUGAGUUAGGGAGAAUACCCAGCGUGAUCAAGCAGCCCAGCACCAACUGAAAGCAAGAGGGGUAACAAAGAACCUCUGGUCUCUUCAAGAUGAGUGUCAACUAAGGAAGAAUUUACAUCCGCACAAGAUUCUUGGGGGAAGCACCUAGCUAUUCCAUGGUGGCCCUUCUGAUAUCACCUUUCCAUUGGCAUGUCCACCUGGCACUGAUGUGAGAGAGUCACAGGUUGACCUGAAUCAGUAGAGCACAUAAUGAGGGAACUAAAAAUGCUUUCUAUAAUUGUGGAAUAGGUCCCAGGUAGCUAGUGACCAAACUGCUGGGUACAGGGAGUGCUGGAUGAUUUCAAUUCUCCUUGAUUUGUUUCUUCAAGAAUUGAAUAUGCAAUUCAGCUACAAGCAAAAUUUGUUGGCAUUAAAAAAAAAAAGACAGUGUCUCCAUAGAAAUGAACUGACUCCUCACAAACUGUAAAGAAGGGAGUAAAUUGGACAGCAGUUAAUGCCACUUCAUUUGGAUUUAAAGUCAUUAGAGCAAGAAAGAAGCUGGGAUUCUAAAAGUGACAUUUCUAAGUUUCACUUUUAUGCUGUAGAAUUAAAAAUGUAUUUGUUGCUUUUAUGACAGAAAAAAAAAGCCUUAAUGCCACCAAAUGUUCUGACAAGAACUUUACGACUUACAUAUAUUUUCUGCCAUACAAUAACAGGCUAUUGACUGUGCAAAGGGAAAUGAGAGUAAUAAAAUAAGGAAACUUUCACUGUCUUUGAAACCAUUUUAAAAAAUUGUACUUGUAAAUGUUCAGAUUUGUCUGCAGGGAAUCAGACAGUAGUUCACUGGAAUUUACAUGGAUGAUAGUUUGCACAGUGCUCUGUCCUAGUAAAUCUACAGGAAGUCUUUGCUUAUCUUAUAAUGAACUUAUUUAAAGAUGGAAGAAUGUUUUUGAAAUUUAAAUGUAGUGGGCUGAAAUGUUUCCCAUAGGACUGAAUAAUAUCUUCAUUAAGAAGCGAUGAGGGGACCAGAAAACCUUAACAUUUUUUCAGAGAGGGAGGAGGUAAAGCAAUUAUGAGAUAUAGAAAAUUAAAAAUGCAGAGAAGUAAUGGUUUGUUAACUCUCUAUUAAAACAUAAAGUAAUUAUAGAGCUGUAGUUUUACUGUCUCAGAUACCUCUCCUCUAACUCCAUCUUGGAUUCCCCACAAUUGGGCUUCUGUCC